GUGGGGAAUAUUGGACAAUGGGCGCAAGCCUGAUCCAGCAAUUCCGCGUGAGCGAAGAAGGCCUUCGGGUUGUAAAGCUCUUUCGGCGGGGACGAUAAUGACGGUACCCGCAGAAGAAGCCCCGGCUAACUCCGUGCCAGCAGCCGCGGUAAUACGGAGGGGGCUAGCGUUGUUCGGAAUCACUGGGCGUAAAGCGCACGUAGGCGGCUACUCCAGUCAGAGGUGAAAGCCCGGGGCUCAACUCCGGAAUUGCCUUUGAAACUAGGUAGCUUGAACGUCGGAGAGGUAAGUGGAAUUCCGAGUGUAGAGGUGAAAUUCGUAGAUAUUCGGAAGAACACCAGUGGCGAAGGCGACUUACUGGACGACUGUUGACGCUGAGGUGCGAAAGCGUGGGGAGCAAACAGGAUUAGAAACCCGAGUAGUCC
rnacentral:rRNA from 1 species